ACGAACGCUGGCGGCCUGCCUCACACAUGCCAGUCGCACGAGACCUUCGGGUCUAGUGGCGCACGGGUGCGUAACGCGUGGGAACCUGCCCUUAGGUUCGGAAUAACUCCCCGAAAGGGGUGCUAAUACCGGAUAAUGUCUUCGGACCAAAGAUUUAUCGCCUUUGGAUGGGCCCGCGUUGGAUUAGCUAGUUGGUAGGGUAAAAGCCUACCAAGGCGACGAUCCAUAGCUGGUCUGAGAGGAUGAUCAGCCACACUGGGACUGAGACACGGCCCAGACUCCUACGGGAGGCAGCAGUGGGGAAUAUUGGACAAUGGGCGAAAGCCUGAUCCAGCAAUGCCGCGUGAGUGAUGAAGGCCUUAGGGUUGUAAAGCUCUUUUACCCGGGAUGAUAAUGACAGUACCGGGAGAAUAAGCUCCGGCUAACUCCGUG
rnacentral:rRNA from 1 species